AGUCGAACGCAUCGCAAGAUGAGUGGCAGACGGGUGAGUAACGCGUGGGAACAUACCCUUUUCUACGGAAUAGCUCUGGGAAACUGGAAUUAAUACCGUAUACGCCCUACGGGGGAAAGAUUUAUCGGGGAAGGAUUGGCCCGCGUUGGAUUAGCUAGUUGGUGGGGUAAAGGCCUACCAAGGCGACGAUCCAUAGCUGGUCUGAGAGGAUGAUCAGCCACAUUGGGACUGAGACACGGCCCAAACUCCUACGGGAGGCAGCAGUGGGGAAUAUUGGACAAUGGGCGCAAGCCUGAUCCAGCCAUGCCGCGUGAGUGAUGAAGGCCUUAGGGUUGUAAAGCUCUUUCACCGAUGAAGAUAAUGACGGUAGUC
rnacentral:rRNA from 1 species